rnacentral:rRNA from 1 species
CAGGCCUAACACAUGCAAGUCGAACGCCUGUAGCAAUACAGGAGUGGCAGACGGGUGAGUAACGCGUGGGAACGUGCCCUUCGGUUCGGAAUAACCCAGGGAAACUUGGGCUAAUACCGGAUACGUCCGCAAGGAGAAAGACUUAUCGCCGAAGGAGCGGCCCGCGUCCGAUUAGCUAGUUGGUGAGGUAAUGGCUCACCAAGGCGACGAUCGGUAGCUGGUCUGAGAGGAUGACCAGCCACACUGGGACUGAGACACGGCCCAGACUCCUACGGGAGGCAGCAGUGGGGAAUAUUGGACAAUGGGCGCAAGCCUGAUCCAGCCAUGCCGCGUGGGUGAUGAAGGCCCUAGGGUUGUAAAGCCCUUUCGGCGGGGAAGAUAAUGACGGUACCCGCAGAAGAAGCCCCGGCUAACUUCGUGCCAGCAGCCGCGGUAAU